AGUGAACGCUGGCGGUAGGCCUAACACAUGCAAGUCGAACGGCAGCACAGUAAGAGCUUGCUCUUACGGGUGGCGAGUGGCGGACGGGUGAGGAAUACAUCGGAAUCUACUUUUUCGUGGGGGAUAACGUAGGGAAACUUACGCUAAUACCGCAUACGACCUACGGGUGAAAGCAGGGGAUCUUCGGACCUUGCGCGAUUGAAUGAGCCGAUGUCGGAUUAGCUAGUUGGCGGGGUAAAGGCCCACCAAGGCGACGAUCCGUAGCUGGUCUGAGAGGAUGAUCGGCCACACUGGAACUGAGACACGGUCCAGACUCCUAAGGGAGGCAGCAGUGGGGAAUAUUGGACAAAGGGCGCAAGCCUGAUCCAGCCAUACCGCGUGGGUGAAGAAGGCCUUCGGGUUGUAAAGCCCUUUUGUUGGGAAAGAAAAGCAGCAGGUUAAUACCCCGCUGUUCUGACGGUACCCAAAGAAUAAGCACCGGCUAACUUCGUG
rnacentral:rRNA from 1 species